GCUGGCGUAGCACAAUUGGCAGUGCGCAUCACUUGUAAUGAUGAGGUUAUCGGUUCGAUUCCGAUUGUCAGCU
rnacentral:tRNA from 1 species